UUAAAAGUUCAGUUUCUUUUGCCCUUUGCACAACUCAGUCUGUAAUUAUACAUUAAUUUUACUGUUACUGUGAGAUUGCUUCCCCAGAUUAUACAGUUUCAUUAAUUCAUCAGGUCCUACUGGAUGGUUAGAAAGUAAUGACAGAUUUGAUAUUUUCCAUUUAUUGAACCCAAGGUGGAAAUGUAUGCUUUCUUUUGUCCUCUUCCAGUAUGGUCUUACACAUGCAACAAUGGAUUCCCUACUGAGAAAGAAAAAGAGGAAAUGCUGAACCUCUUUUCCUUUUCACACACUCAAAAUCUUAGUGUUGCUAAGAAGUAAUAUCUAUUAUUAGCAUGACAGUGGUGACCAGCAUCUCAAAUAACUUAAUAUGGUUUGAAUUAAAGGAUUACCUUUUAAGACACUCUUUCCAUGUCUUUUAGUAUGUCAUAAGAACUCAGGUGAGUCCAGUUAAACCCAUUUCUGCAGACUCUUCUGCUAAUGAAAAUCUCCAUUGUCUUUAGGCCCAUAAUUUCUCUCUGUCCCAGAUGACCAGAUAAAUAAAUUCUCCUUUUCUCACACGUCUUUUAAUGAAGCAAAGAAAUCCUCUCUUUCCUUCCACUGAAGUAAGUGAGAUGUAUGAAUACAGAAGUAAUAGGCUUUGGUGGAAAAAGGGAGAACACUGUGCUUACAAAAAGCAUAGCUGCAAUGCAGCCUCUGCCCCAGUAUCUUUUGGGGAGUCCUGUAUCCUGUGCUCAGGGUACCUGGCACUGCAGCUGCCAGUGGCAGGAGCGGUGGAACAGAACUAUUUACAAAGAGCUUCAUGAACUUGCAGCUGUCUGUAAUUAUAAGGUGUUUGGCUAGUAUUAAUACUUCAUUGAAGUGCAUGUCUGGUUAGCUCUAAGCACUAGCCUCCAUUUUACAGUAGUUAUUCUCAGUAUUAGAUACCUCAGCAGAGAAGAAUUAUGUUUUCUAGGCAAAUACACUUGGCUGUGAUUAAUUACUUUUCCCUGGAAUGACCUGAUAUUGUUCCUUUACUACACCACUUUCUAAUUUUUCUGAGUAACAGCUAAUUAGAUGCCUGAGAAAAUUUACAGAAAUGCUGUAUUCAUAUAUUGCAUAAACUGGGUUGUAUUACUGUCUUGGUCCUGUGAAGAUGUAAGCAUAUGUUGAAAUUUAAGGUUUAGAGUCUCUUCUGUCAGCUUCUGGAGGACUGGAGGCUGCUGUUGGUCAGUGGAUGUUCUGCACUUCCCUCUUAUCAAGCAUUAACUUUGGGUCAUCUAAGGAGUAAGCAAUGGAUGAUUGAAGCUCAAAAAAAAAAGAUUUUUUUUCUUUCUGUGGUAAUGUCUACCUUAAACAUAAACUUUAAAUUCAUCAUGGAUUUGUUGUAGAAUGGUACUACUGUACUGAUAGCUCUAGUGUGCAGGUGACUGGCACAGAUGGAAUAAAUUUCACACCCAAGAAAUGACAACCCAGAGGAAAGAUAGAGCAGAUUACUAAUGUGUUAUGGCAGUGUAACUUCACCAGGACAGCCUGUCAGUGUGCCUUGCCAUUUUAAAGAUGACUUCUGCCAUGAAACUAGGUUAGGUUCUGUUUAGUUCUGUGCCUUGGCUGGCUGUGUUCUAGGAACUGCAACAAGACCAACACUUCAGAAUUUUUAUACUGAACUGACUCAUCACCAGUCACUAUCUGAGCUAGAUGGGAGCAGCCUAUUACAACUGGAAAAUUUAAAUCACAGUUGUCUUCCUUCUCCUGAAUAUGAACUUUGUUUCAUCCCACACCACCACUUGGUUCCUAGCUGCCCUUCUAUAGUUGGGUUCUGUUGUUAAAAUAUAGUGGGGCUUAGGUCUGCAGAGCAUGCUGCUACCUAUUCACUGUUUCCUUUGGGGUUUCUUGCUGGAAGUUCUACUGGGAAACCAAGAGUGCAAAUGUAGUUUAUUUUUGUCAUCUUCUCAGUUACUGUGUCAACUGCUCUGAACCCAAAACGUUUUGUUAACUGCACUGCAUUCUGAAGUGGUUUAUUGUGGAGUAUCACAACAGUUGUAACAACAAAAUGUAAGGAAUUUUCUAAGAAUGUGGAACAUGUAGGAAAGACAGGUAAGCAUAUUAAAUAUAUAUGUGUGUGUAGUUAUUCUAGAAAUUGCUAAUUACGGAUAAGGCUCAAAAAAACAGGUUUUCCAACUUUUCUUCUGAAAAAUUGCAGACAAAAAUGUAUUAUCAUGUAUAUGUAAAGCAUGUGUGAUAGUGUAUGUGUAGUUAAACUUAUACAGUCUAUUCACAGUAAAUGCAAACAAAGUCUUUCUAUUAUUGUGCUAACAUUACUAUGAACCUACAAUAGACUUUGUUUUUCAUAAAGCAAAAGGUAGUUUUCAGGAGCUUCUCUAUAACUGGGUAGAUGAUUAAGAUUGUUAAGCCUGAUGUGGAGGCUGUCAUUCAGCUUUAAAUGGCCUUUGCUGCACCAUGAUUCCUUUCCAAAAAAAUGCUCUGUGAGAGCAGUGAAACUCUUGUCCUCAAGCAGUUUACAGAGCUGCUGCAUGUACCAGCUGAGACAUGGCAACUAACUUUUUGCAUGGUCUUUAUGCAUUUUUUUAAAAAAGGGAAAGGCUGAUUUCAAUUAUUCUUGUUGAUCAGUUUAAGCUUUCCCUGUUUUACUUUGCACUGAAAUGAACAGAUAUCUCAAUUGAGAUAAGUAAGGUCUCACAAUUUUUUGUCUACUUUGCAAGAACACAUCUUGAUUAGUCAGUUCUUGAUUAAGUAUUUUUGCAUGCAAUUACGUUCAAUUCCAUUUCAAGGACUCCUGUAUCCAACUCAGCCCAUAAGAUGACCUAUGAAAUAUUUGCCUUUUUUUUUUUUUUGGCUACAUGUUUAUCAGUGCCUCUGUAGGCUUUUUUCCUGUCUUGUAAUAUUAGAUGCUUGUACAUAUCAACUCCUUUCCUAAUAGUUCCUCAUAUUAGAUUUCAUUUACUAAAAUAUUAAAGCGUGUGUGUAUUGGUAAGUGUAAAAUUAGUCAGAAAUUUUAAGUGUUUUGCUGGUUUGGAGUCCCAUAAGUUAUUUAUUUCCCUACAGCAGAAUGAAAAGGCUCAGGGGUCUUUGCAAUUCUGUAUAUAUUCAAACUCACCACAAAACCAAAGCCAAGACUGGCCAAAAUUGGCUAAAAUUAAAUAGCAUUAUAUCUAAAAAUAAUGAACUCUUUGAAUAUAUGCCUGUAUGUAUUUGCCUUUUAACUGGAUUGUCAUGAAUGUCUUUAUCAUUUUCAUAGAUUCUUUAUGGCAUAUAUAAUUAUGUGAUUUAGUAUGCCUGCUAAGGAUUUGUAGCCGUAUAUUAGUGCAUAUAGGAGUUUACUGACAUCAACAAGUACUAAAUGGCCAAAUUAGAUAAAACUUAGAAGAUAAAUUGCUAGACAGCACUGAAAGUUUGUAUACACUGAUGAACUCCCUCCAUAUACAGUGGAGAUAUAAAUCCACAGAAUAAACGUACUUUUUUUAACCUA